AGCAGCCGCGGUAAUUCCAGCUCCAAUAGCGUAUAUUAAAGUUGUUGCAGUUAAAAAGCUCGUAGUUGAAUUUCGGGGUCAAUACGUCGGUCGUGCCUUCGGUACGUACUGGUGUUAUUGAUCUCUCCCUUCUGAUGAAUCAUGAUGUCAUUAAUUUGGUGUCGUGGGGAGUCAGGACUGUUACUUUGAAAAAAUUAGAGUGUUUAAAGCAGGCUCACGCUUGAAUACAUUAGCAUGGAAUAAUGAAAUAGGACGUUUGAUCCUAUUUUGUUGGUUUCUAGGAUCAACGUAAUGAUUAAUAGGGAUAGUUGGGGGCAUUAGUAUUCAAUUGUCAGAGGUGAAAUUCUUGGAUUUAUUGAAGACUAACUACUGCGAAAGCAUUUGCCAAGGAUGUUUUCAUUAAUCAAGAACGAAAGUUAGGGGAUCGAAGACGAUCAGAUACCGUCGUAG
rnacentral:rRNA from 1 species